AUUGAACGCUGGCGGCAUGCUUUACACAUGCAAGUCGAACGGCAGCGGGGUAGUGCUUGCACUACUGCCGGCGAGUGGCGAACGGGUGAGUAAUAUAUCGGAACGUACCGAGUAAUGGGGGAUAACCAAUCGAAAGAUUGGCUAAUACCGCAUACGUCCUGAGGGAGAAGGCGGGGGAUCGCAAGACCUCGCGUUAUUCGAGCGGCCGAUAACUGAUUAGCUAGUUGGUGGGGUAAAGGCCUACCAAGGCGACGAUCAGUAGCGGGUCUGAGAGGACGAUCCGCCACACUGGGACUGAGACACGGCCCAGACUCCUACGGGAGGCAGCAGUGGGGAAUUUUGGACAAUGGGGGCAACCCUGAUCCAGCCAUGCCGCGUGUAUGAAGAAGGCCUUCGGGUUGUAAAGUACUUUUGUUAGGGAAGAAAAGGGAAGUGCUAAUACCACUUUUUGCUGACGGUACCUAAAGAAUAAGCACCGGCUAACUACGUG
rnacentral:rRNA from 1 species